ensembl:lncRNA
ACUUACAAGUGUUUUGUCAUUUUCAUCGCCCUUUGAUUCCAAAAAUAUUUUCCCAUUUGUUUUCUCUACAGGCUUUUUUGUGAAAUCGUGCACCAAUCCCUCAUUCAUGACAUUACAAACAUUGAUUGAGAGUUUUCAAAAAACAUUUAUGAGGCUAUGGACAUCCCAUGAAGCCUUGCGAAUGAUGACAUCGAAUAAGCAGAUCUCAACCCUAAACAAGCGCGUUUGUUAGGUUCAUGCAUAAAUUUAAAGCUGCGGUCUGAAGCUGUCACAGUACCUGUGGAGAGGAUGUACUGUAGCUCGACCACAGAGCGUAUGGCCUGCGUGUCUUAUUAAAAAACCCCAAACCAAGCUUGGGUUUCAUCAGCCAUAACCUCAGUCCUUUCAAUGUUUAUUUCCUACUCUUUAAUAAGCAUCUGUCAGAUGCCUGUUCGUUUUGCUUGGGGGAAUAAUUUAGGUGCUAGUCGCCGCAAAUGCAUUCACACGCUUCAGUCACAGAACAAUAGCUAACAUUGACGUUGUGGCCGAGAAGCCCUUCUCUCUCUUACUAGCUUCGCGAGGCCAAAAGUGAGAUGUAAACAGUGUUCGGUCAUUCAAUCUUCUACAUUAGAACAGCGCUUUUGACAAGGAACCCUGCAUGUAGUCACAAUGCGGCUCAGUUCCCCGGCUCCCCCGCGACACAUUAUCUAGCACUGCAGCCGUUGCACUGAUGACCUCGCUUAAACAGCAAACCACAAAUCAGACUGCAGUGAUGAUGGCUGUUGAUUAGUAUGACUGGCUAAAAUCAG